GACGAACGCUGGCGGCGUGCUUAACACAUGCAAGUCGAACGGAAAGACCCUGCUUUUGUGGGGUGCUCGAGUGGCGAACGGGUGAGUAACACGUGAGUAACCUGCCCUUGACUUUGGGAUAACUUCAGGAAACUGGGGCUAAUACCGGAUAGGAGCUCCUGCUGCAUGGUGGGGUUUGGAAAGUUUCGGCGGUUGGGGAUGGACUCGCGGCUUAUCAGCUUGUUGGUGGGGUAGUGUCUUACCAAGGCUUUGACGGGUAGCAGGCCUGAGAGGGUGACCGGCCACAUUGGGACUGAGAUACGGCCCAGACUCCUACGGGAGGCAGCAGUGGGGAAUAUUGCACAGUGGGCGGAAGCCUGAUGCAGCAACGCCGCGUGCGGGAUGACGGCCUUCGGGUUGUAAACCGCUUUCGCCUGUGACGAAGCGUGAGUGACGGUAAUGGGUAAAGAAGCACCGGCUAACUACGUG
rnacentral:rRNA from 1 species